UCCACCAAGGACCACGUACACCUCCAUCGGUCAACUCCCUCUCUUCCACAAUCCAUUUUCUCCCAAAUUAAUCCAAUUUCAGAAUCGGAAGGAACGACGUCUCCAGCCGCCCUUCUCCCUCUUCUCCGGCGAAAUCGCCUCCACCUCGACUGAAUUUCGGAGUCCCGUCGGCGGGUACUUCCUUCUCCAUCGCAUUCGCUUCUUUCGUCGAGCUCGGAGGAGAUCUCGGCUCUCCGGCGGAUUCGCCACCGCCGUUCUCUCCUCCAGACGAAGUCUCCGACAGAGAAGGUGUCGCCUUUCACUCUCCGUCUCCCUCUCUGUUUUCUUUUCUCCGCCGAGAAUCUUCCUCCGGAGACAUCAGCGCCGGCGCCGAACAAGUGUCGGGGAGCUCCUCGCCUUCGGAGCUGCUGCGUCGCUGCCCCGUCUGUCGGAUUCGCGUGAGGCAGCUCCCUUCUCGGUCUCCCCCGUAAUCUCGUUAUCACUGGACAGCCUUCCCCCUAAGCUAAGUCUUCUAACUUAGUUAUUUUACUUAGGCCUCUCAAUGGCAGUAGCUAUGUACCAAAAUUCCAAGUUGGGUAUCGUAUGAAUGGCUUACUGGAAAGGGCUAAAUGUUAUGCUAAUUGAUCACUGUGGUUGAGGGACAACUCAUGCUAUCUCUAGGGGACUACUAAUCGACCCUUUGGCAUGGAAUGGGGAUCAAGAAUGGAGAUAUGUGUAGAGAGGAUCCUCAAUAAGAUUUAGCAAAUCACUACUUUUGUUUCUUUACUUCAUUUAGCUCUCAUAGGAAAAUUUCUUUUGUAAAGUAGAUAUAUCUUCUCUACUUGUUCCAACACCAAUAUUCAUGUAAUCUUUUUCAUGAAAGGUAGUUCUCUUAUAUUGUAAGGUAUACCUCCAACCUUUCUUCUUUUGAAUAAAUUCCAAUAACACUUGUACACCUAUUUAUGUGAAAUUCUUGGCA